rnacentral:rRNA from 1 species
GUUAGCGGCGGACGGGUGAGUAACACGUGGGUAACCUGCCUGUAAGACUGGGAUAACUCCGGGAAACCGGAGCUAAUACCGGAUAGUUCCUUGAACCGCAUGGUUCAAGGAUGAAAGACUUUUUUCGGCUGUCACUUACAGAUGGACCCGCGGCGCAUUAGCUAGUUGGUGAGGUAACGGCUCACCAAGGCGACGAUGCGUAGCCGACCUGAGAGGGUGAUCGGCCACACUGGGACUGAGACACGGCCCAGACUCCUACGGGAGGCAGCAGUAGGGAAUCUUCCGCAAUGGACGAAAGUCUGACGGGAGCAUCGCCGCGUGAGUUUUUUAAUUUUUUUCGGAUCGUAAAGCUCUGUUGUUAGGGGAAGAACAAGUGCAAGAGUAACUGCUUGCCCCUUUUCUCCGUCCCUAACCAGAAAGCCACGGGUUACUCCGUGCCGGCGGCCGUG